CAGUCACCGGUUUCACCCCGCUCCCACACAGCCUGCAGUCCUAAAGGCCCGUCUCACUCCCACCGUGAGCAGCUUGGAGUCAGUUUCCAGGAAGCCAGUGACCCGGGCUGAGAAUUUGCCUCAGACCACAAGCCUCCCCAUUGAGAAAGCAAGCAGACUCAGUUUUUUGGCGUCUUAGGGACCCCGCAGCAAGUUCCUUCAAAGGGCUGCUCCGUCUAUCCAAGUGGGAGCUGCAAGCAAGUCCUGCCUCCUCUCCGCCAUCUUAACCCCUCAACCAGUAAAUGUUUAAAGACACAAAUCUCAAGCCCUCUCAGUCUCCACUCUUCAAAAGUCCGUCCUUUCCUGACUUUACGUGGCAGAAAGACAAUCUGCCUUGCAGCAAGUUUAUGGAUAACACGGAGUUCCCCUGCAAUGAAUAUGUGAACCCUCUGUUCUUCAGGAUAGCACUUGGGAUGAUGUGGAGUUGCUCAGGCCAGGACCUCCAGUACCAUACUGAAUUGAAAUGGUAAGUGAACAUCUUUGUCUUAUUCCUGGUCUUAGAGUAAAAGCUUUAAACUUUUACCAUUGAGUAUGAUAUUAGUU